ACGGCUACCCCCCCCCCCGCUCAACCUAGCCCAGACUGUCCGAGGGGCCCGCGCGCGGCCGCAGCCCCCGCCUCCAGCCCUCCAGCCCCCCAGCCCGCAGUGCUCUUACCUCCACACCUGCCCCAUCUGCAGCAGGUGGAUGACCGACUGCCAGAUCCACACGGAGAGGCGGCACAGACGCUGCGCCCCCGGGGUGGCCGAGCCCCCCGCACCCGAGCCGCCGCGGGCCGCGCCGUGGCCGUAGCCGGCCCCCAUCAUUGGGGGUCCCCGGCUGCUGAGCCCCUCCACGGCGCCGAGCCCGCCGCCCGUGUAGUCCUGCACGAACCAGCGGAAGCUCAGGCUCUGCACCAGCAGCGACGGCACCAGCACGAAGAACAGGGUCAGCCCGAAGCAGCCGUAGUCCCCCUUGCGGUAGUAGUCGAGGGCCAGCCACAGUGGUACCAAAAGGCUCCGUCAUAAUCAGUUCUGCACAAUGACUUCUCCUGAAUCAUACCCUAUGCCAUCUACCCACUGAUGCUAAUCCCAAAGGACGUCAUAUCACAGCACUAGUUAUAGGAAGGAAGGAUCCUGGUACAUUGCAGUAAUGGCACACAUCUAGGACACAUUGUGUAAAUCCCAGUAUGAGGAUGAGCCUCAGCAUGACACCAUUGAUGGGCUUUUGAGCCUAUGGAAGCUUAACUACAAGUGUGCAUCAUCCUUAUCCUUCUAUUU
rnacentral:lncRNA from 1 species